rnacentral:rRNA from 1 species
UACGGAGGGUGCAAGCGUUACUCGGAAUCACUGGGCGUAAAGGGCGCGUAGGCGGCCUAGCAAGUCUGGUGUGAAAGCCCAGGGCUCAACCCUGUAAGGGCACUGGAAACUGUUAGGCUUGAGUUCCGGAGAGGAGGGGGGAAUUCCCGGUGUAGCGGUGAAAUGCGUAGAUAUCGGGAGGAAUACCGGUGGCGAAGGCGCCCCUCUGGACGGAAACUGACGCUGAGGCGCGCAAGCGUGGGGAGCAAACACG